GAUAACCCAUAUCACUCAGUACGGCAGCCCCAUUACAACCUAUAUCAGCCAAUACGGCAUCCCUAGCUUAGAUUAAGAAUCCAUAAAUGUACGGCCACCCCAGAAAAAUACCGAAGAUACGGGCACAUGAAAAGUAUGUAGAUCGACGCUCGUUCAUUCUAAAUGGCGGAUGAGUGGAAUAAAGACGUGUUCGGAAAAGUAAAUUGUCCAUCCUAUUUCACUCUCACAAUCUCAGAAGUGGGCCCUACUCACAAUGUGCGACAUCGAAUUAAACCAAUUCUCGGUAGUGCAAGAGAAGGUUCGAUCGGCCAAGCGGAGCAGCAGCAGUUGGCAGAGGAAGCACCAACUAUGGCGCCGACAGUCGUAGAAGAGGCAGCACCAUCGAUUCAAGACAUGCAGGAGGAAUUUCUACUAUACACGGAACAGCCUAGCGCAGUAGAAGCCGAGAACGACGUCCUGAUGAAAUUACGCGCAGAGAUAGAUGCAGGCAGAGUCUUGAUGAAAAAAAAUCAUGACGAAAUAAACAAGAUCGUGCAUGUCGGCCAAGCCAAUGACGUCAUCAACGAGGGCAACGAAGCUACCGAUAUCGAUAACAGUGGCAGCGCUAACAGCACCACAGUUAACAGUGGCUGCGCUAACAGCACCAAUGUUAACAGCACCAUCGACCACAGUGAUGGAAAAGGCUCCGAUUCAGACAGUGUUGCAAAACGUCAGGACACAAAUGUAAACAACAUAUGGGGAGCUUCGGCAACAUCGCUCACAUUGGCAAAGGAAGUGACUAUGGAAUUCGACGGGACACAGUGCGCCAAAAACUGGGUCAUACAGCUGGAUAAUAUUGCCGAAAUCUAUAAGCUGGACAAAAUCACUUAACGAAUGCUCCUGAUUGCUAAGCUCAAAGGAAACGCUCAGAGUUGGCUCCAUGCAGAUUCCGCACGUAUAUUGGAAUCAGCUCAUUACUUGUGCGAGCAAUUGAUCGUGGCAUUUGGGGCAACCUUGAACAAAGGAGAACAAAGAGACAGAUUCCAAAAUCGUCAAUGGCGUUCAGAAGAAAAUUUUGCCACAUAUUUUGAAGAAAAAAUGAUGCUGGCUAGAAACAUCAACAUAGACACCGAGGAGUUGAAGGAAAAGAUAAUCGAUGGAAUUCCGGCUUCGGGCUUGCGAGAUCAGGCUCGCAUUCAGUGCUUCUCGGAUCCGAAGCAAAUUCUACGUGCAUUCUCGGAAAUCCGCCUUCCGCAGCGGAAGCAGUAUGCCACACCAGUCUCGGCAGAUGCUGCAGCUAACAAGGGCUUACGCUGCGCCAACUGCAACUCACGUGGUCACUUCGCCAAGGACUGCUUCAAGCCAAAAAGGAAGCCUGGAUCCUGCUACGCAUGUGGGGCAUUUGGCCACCUUGUCGGACAAUGCCCGGAGAGAAAAAGCGUAACCAACAACAAUUAUCAUGCCUCAUAGACUCUGGGAGUAAAAUAUCGUUCGUUAAGAAAAGUUUAAUUUCUACAAAAACCAUCAUGGAGCCAGUUCUGAAUCAUAUUUUGGGCUGAAUCGAAGCCAAUUGAAAACAUUUGGAAAAAUAUUAUGUUAUGUUUUGAAAGGAGGAAUAAAAUGUUUUUUUCAUUUGAACGUGGUAUCGAACGAGUCUAUGAGUCAUGGUGUGGUUCUUGGCAGAAAUUGUAUGAAUGCAUGCGCGCUAAGCUUGGACCUAAACACUUUGAAAAUGGUUACGUUAGACGCUGUAAAUGAGAAAGCUAAUAAUCAAUUAAGUAAUAAUUCAGCAAUACCGAUAGAAAGUGAUAAACUGCAAAUUAAAACAAUGGGCAUGAGUAUAGGAAAAAACGAAAAGUUUAAUGAUAACGCUAAUAAAAUAGUUAGAGAUGAGGUGAUUAAAGAAGCCAAAAUUGAUGAAAUUGUUAGUGAUACCGUUAGUAAAGAGAUUGAUGAAAUUUGUGAUACCGUUAGUAAAGAGAUUGAUAAAAUUGUUAGUGAUACCGUUAGUAAAGAGAUUGAUAAAACUGUUAGUGACACAAUUCAUAAAAUGAUUGAUGAAAUUAUUAGUUAUACCGUUAGUAACGAUGAUAAUAUAAUUGUUAGUGAAGACGUUAGCAAGGAUAGUGAAAUUGUUACGGAAGUAGUUAGUAAAGCAGGUACUGAAAAUUUGAUCGAUCAUACCAGACCAAUCAGUUAUAUAAGUGAAACAGGUACUUCGAUAAAUGACGAUGCGGUCGUUACUGAUGGAAUCGUUAGUAGCAAAGCUGAGGACACAUACAAUGAAAUCAUUGCUCCAGACAUUUUUAAUAUCAAUUAUUUGGAAGAUGAAAAAGUCGAUUACAUCUGCGGAGAAAAAAUAAGUCAUGAGCUAAAAUGUCAACUAAGGCAAGCAAUCGAAGACUAUUAUGUAAACACUGUAAGGCCAAAGGAACCUUUAGUUAAAUGCGAGAUAAAACUUAGUUUAGAAAAAUCAAAACCGUUUAGCUGUGCUCCAAGGCGACUGUCAUAUAACGAAAAAGAUAAACUGCAACAAUUAUUAGACGAAUAUUUAAAGAACGGGAUAAUACGACCAAGUGAUUCCGUAUCGUAUUGGUUAAAAAGAAAACAGGGGAUUUAAGGUUAUGUAUAGAUUUUAGAAAACUUAAUCAAAGAAGGACAACUAUCCCAUACCCCUCAUCGAUGAUUUGCUCGACAAACUAGCCAACAAAAAGAUCUUUACGAAGCUUGACCUCAAAAAUGGUUACUUUCAUGUGUUUGUUAAUGAGGAAUCGUUCGUGACACCUUUAGGACAAUUCGAGUUCCUCAGAAUGCCGCAGGGUCUGAAAACGGCAUCAGCAGUGUUUCAAAGGUUCGUUAACAAGAUAUUCGAUGAUUUGAUUAGAGAUGAUAAAGUUAUUGUUUACAUGGACGACAUAAUGGUUGCCAGCAGAAAUAUACAAGAACACUUAGAAACGCUAAAGGAAGUCUUCAAUAGAUUAGCGAAAAACAAGUUAGAAUUGCGAAUAGACAAAUGUGAGUUCUUACAAUCAAACAUAAAAUAUCUGGGGUUUUUAAUAAAAGGGCAAGGUAUAACAGCAGAUGACAGAGGAUUAGAAGCAAUCAAAAACUUUCCAAUCCAAGACAAAGUACAGGUUGUGCAAAGUUUUCUUGGCUUAUGCUCCUACUUCAGGAGAUUUAUAAAAGAUUUCUCAACUGUUGCCAAACCGCUUUACGAUCUUUUGAGAAAGGAUACCAAAUUUCAGUUUGGUGAAAAUGAAUUAAAUUGCUUUACAAUGCUGAAGGAAAUGUUAAUGCAGGCACCCAUUUUAUCAAUUUAUAAUCAUAAAGACGAGAUAGAACUGCACUGUGAUGCAGGCGCUCUUGGCUUCGGGGCAGUGUUACUUCAAAAGAAAGACGACGGAAAACUGCAUCCAAUUUUUUAUUUUUCUAAGCGAACAACUGCAGCGGAAUCAAAAUAUCACAGCUUUGAGCUGGAAACAAUGGCAAUUAUUUACGCUCUGCGCAGAUUUCGCAUAUAUUUAUAUGGA